rnacentral:sRNA from 1 species
AAAUUCACUAGCAACAGGUGUGCCAUG